GAAUGGUUCAUGAAAAGUAUCAUAUAAGCGUUUUACCUGAAAAGGUAAUUUGCACAAAGAUCAAACAACAGUUCCCUAACAAAGCCUCAUAGACUACCAACUGAAUGACAUUGGCCUCAGUUUGGCAACACUAGUAAGAACCAGUUUUACAGUCAUCAAAACAUCUCAUCCAGAGAAGUCAUGAGGAUCCAUCCCAAGGUUCCAGUAAGCAAAACCAAAAUUCACUUUGUUGAAUAUGUAACAAGCAUGCCCAUAAGUUUUCAGAAAUGCAUGGUGCUUGAAAAAUGUACAUAAUAAAAUAGAGCAAAUAAACAAAGUUAAUGGAAUCUAA